UGUCACCUGCUCUCAUGGCAGAAGUGGCCAUCAUCUGCCUUACCCUGAGAAACCACUUCCUGUGAAGCCAGUCACCAGUGCUCCUGGAGCGAUGCAUGUUCAGACACCGCGUGUCCUGCCAGCUCCUGCCCACUGCUGCAAAUGGGAUGAAGGUGGUGGCGAGGCUGCUGUGAGGGCAGCAACAGCCACUGAGGUCUCACUGAGAACAGUGCAGAAGGCACUUACGGAGAUUGCCCUGGUAGCAUAUCUUCAUAGGAAAUAACUUUUUGUGAUAAAGCAGGAAUAGAGAAAGAGCACAAAUUUGGUCUGGAGGAUUUUUAUAUUUUUAGCUCAGCCUUGUUUUGGCUCAGAGUCCUGGAAGCGUGAUGAGCAGGGAGUGGAGCAGCCCCCGCUCAGCUUCCACUUCCCAGCCUCCACAAAACCUCCUGGGUAAGCAGGAGGUCCCAGCCACAGAGAAACACUUCUGAAGUCACAUCAUCUUCAGAGAACAUUUCCUGUUGCCAUGCCACUACUUAUCUCCCUGCAAUUCCUGGAUCUUUAAUAGGAAUCAGGUGUUCUGAAUAGAGUCCCACAGGCUGCCUUUUUCAUGGUUGCAUUGAUUUCUAACAACUAAAUUAGCCCCAGGAAAGCAUAAUGGAAUCAGCAGGUUUCCAGGUCUCUCUUUCCCCUUUACAGAAGAGCAUCCCUUUCAAACAUGAAGCACAGCAAGUCCAAAACAGCACCUUUCCCUCUUUUGCUUGGGCAUCAGAGUGCAGUGAUGAAGAGACAAAUGGAGCCGGUCCCCAGAGCUAAGCUGCAAAACCACAGCCUUCAGCAAAGCCCUUCGAGCCCAUCUGUCCCCCAGCAGAGUUACUGCCCCUCUCUUUUGACUCAGGUCUGGAAACGUCAAGAGCUGUACUGAGUCAUCUUUGCAGAAUUCACCUGUGAUAGCCACGUAUUCUGUGGACACCUUGGCUGUGAGCUCUGCCAGCAUCACUUCCCACUGGAGACAGUGCUGGUGUGUUUGAACUUUGUACGGAAAAGGAAGGUUGUGGGUGCUUGAAGGCAAAAGCCUGGAGAAUUAAUUAUCUCAAGAGGCACUGGACUGGACUGGAUUGGGAUUAACCUUCAUUGAGUAGUUUCCCCCCCUCUGGAUAUUUCAAAAUUUACUAAGAAACACCAGCUCCCACUGGCACUGUCUUGAAGGUCUUGAGAUGUCAGACCUCACCCCUACCCCAUUUGUUUGCAGAUUUAAGGAGGUGCUUUGUCUUGACUAAUCC
rnacentral:lncRNA from 1 species